GAUGAAGAACGUAGCGAAAUGCGAUACGUAAGGUGAAUUGCAGAAUUCAGUGAAUCAUCGAAUCUUUGAACGCAUAUUGCGCUCUCUGGUAUUCCGGAGAGCAUGCUUGUUUGAGUAUCAGUAAACACCUCAACUCCCUUUUCUUUUUUGAAAUUGGAGCUGGACUUGAGUGAUCCCAACGCUUUCUUCCAAGAAAGUGGCGGGUUGCUUGAAAUGCAGGUGCAGCUGAACUUUUCUCUGAGCUAUAAGCAUAUCUAUUUAGUCUGCCUAAAAAACAGAUUAUUACCUUUGCUGCAGCUAACAUAAAGGAGACUAGUUCUUGUGCUGACUGAUGCAGGAUUCACAGAGACAGCUUCGGCUGACUUUGUAAACUCGAUCUCAAAUCAAGUAAGACUACCCGCUGAACUUAAGCAUAUCAAUAAGCGGAGGA
rnacentral:misc_RNA from 1 species